rnacentral:rRNA from 1 species
GACGAACGCUGGCGGCGUGCCUAAUACAUGCAAGUCGAACGCAGUGGGGACGGGUGAGUAACACGUGGGUAACCUCCCAUCAGAGGGGAUAACACUUGGAAACAGGUGCUAAACCGAUACUGAUGGAUGGACCCGCGGUGCAUUAGCACGUUGGUGAGGUAACGGCUCACCAAGGCCACGAUGCAUAGCCGAGCUGAGUGGGUAGUCGGCAACAUUGGUACGGAGGCAGGGCCCAGACUCCGACGGGGGGUAGCAGGAGGGAAUCUUCGGCAAUGUACGAAAGUCUGACCGAGAAACGCCUCGUGAGUGAAGAAGGUUUUCGGAUCGUAAGACUCUGUUGUUAGAGAAGCGGUAUCUAACCAGAAAGCCACGGCUAACUACGUGCCAGCCGCCGCGGUAAUUC